GACGAACGCUGGCGGCGUGCCUAACACAUGCAAGUCGAACGGAAAGGCCCUGCUUGCCGGGUGCUCGAGUGGCGAACGGGUGAGUAACACGUGGGUGAUCUGCCCCUUACUUUGGGAUAAGCCUGGGAAACUGGGUCUAAUACUGGAUAGGACCAUGCUGUAGGUGGUGUGGUGGAAAGAUUAGUUUCGGUAAGGGAUGAGCUCGCGGCCUAUCAGCUUGUUGGUGGGGUAAUGGCCUACCAAGGCGUCGACGGGUAGCCGGCCUGAGAGGGUGGACGGCCACAUUGGGACUGAGAUACGGCCCAGACUCCUACGGGAGGCAGCAGUGGGGAAUAUUGCACAAUGGGCGCAAGCCUGAUGCAGCGACGCCGCGUGGGGGAUGACGGCCUUCGGGUUGUAAACUCCUUUCAGCCAUGACGAAGCCUUCGGGUGACGGUAGUGGGAGAAGAAGCACCGGCUAACUACGUG
rnacentral:rRNA from 1 species